UAAUAAAAAUUUAAUCCAUUUCAACUCUUAAAAACUGGAGUGGCUGAUAAAAUAACCAUAUGUACCUCAUGCUGAUGUACUCAGACUAGUUUUUAACAGUAAAAAUGGAUGAAUUUUUUAACA
rfam:Gossypium hirsutum cultivar TM-1 unplaced genomic scaffold scaffold568.1, whole genome shotgun sequence